GCCUGGGUGGCUCAGUCGGUUAAGUGUCUGACUUCGGCUCAGGUCGUGAUCUCACGGUUCGUGGGUUCGAGCCCCGCAUCGGGCU
rnacentral:tRNA from 1 species